rnacentral:rRNA from 1 species
GAUUUCUGGCUUGAAACAUUUUGCCGGCCACGGUUUCGUGUGUUAGUGCUUGAUGUUCUGGCCAUCCUUCCAAUCGCUACUGGCUAUUCUUCAUUGAUUGGUCAGUGGUAUUGGAUCUUUUACUUUGAAAAAAUUAGAGUGUUUCAAGCAGGCUUUAUGCUAUGAAUACAUUAGCAUGGAAUAAUAAUUUAGGACUUCGGUUCUAUUUUGUUGGUUUCUAGGACUGAAGUAAUGAUUGAUAGGGAUAGUUGGGGGUGCUAGUAUUCAGCGGCCAGAGGUGAAAUUCUCGGAUUCGCUGAAGACUAACUUAUGCGAAAGCAUU